AACGGCGGCAGUCGACCCUGCGCCAUAAGGACACGAGCAAAUCCAGCAAUGAACCAAAGCAGAAUGGAAGAAGGGAGUGUGGUAGAAUACAGAUACGGACUCCAGAUACUAUAAGAAAUUUCUUGGAGGAGGCAUGUACACCCUGGGGACAGACUAACCCACAUCACAGCAAAGAUCCUUCCAGAAAACUGGAAGAAAAUAGAGAGACAGUGACAUCAUCACUUGGCCUCUGAGUUCCCUGCUCCCAGCUCAACACCUGGAAGACCGUCUG